rnacentral:rRNA from 1 species
GACGAACGCUGGCGGCGUGCCUAAUACAUGCAAGUAGAACGCACAGUUUAUACCGUAGCUUGCUACACCAUAGACUGUGAGCUGCGAACGGGUGAGUAACGCGUAGGUAACCUGCCUGGUAGCGGGGGAUAACUAUUGGAAACGAUAGCUAAUACCGCAUAAUAUUAAUUAUUGCAUGAUAAUUAAUUGAAAGGUGCAAUUGCACCACUACCAGAUGGACCUGCGUUGUAUUAGCUAGUAGGUGAGGUAACGGCUCACCUAGGCGACGAUACAUAGCCGACCUGAGAGGGGGAUCGGCCACACUGGGACUGAGACACGGCCCAGACUCCUACGGGAGGCAGCAGUAGGGAAUCUUCGGCAAUGGACGAAAGUCUGACCGAGCAACGCCGCGUGAGUGAAGAAGGUUUUCGGAUCGUAAAGCUCUGUUGUAAGAGAAGAACGGGUGUGAGAGUGGAAAGUUCACACUGUGACGGUAUCUUACCAGAAAGGGACGGCUAACUACG